rnacentral:rRNA from 1 species
UACGGGGGGGGCAAGCGUUGUUCGGAAUUACUGGGCGUAAAGGGCUCGUAGGCGGCCAACUAAGUCAGACGUGAAAUCCCUCGGCUUAACCGGGGAACUGCAUCUGAUACUGGAUGGCUUGAGUUCGGGAGAGGGAUGCGGAAUUCCAGGUGUAGCGGUGAAAUGCGUAGAUAUCUGGAGGAACACCGGUGGCGAAGGCGGCGUUCUGGACUGCAACUGACACUGAGGAACGAAAGCCAGGGGAGCAAACGGG